rnacentral:rRNA from 1 species
UGAGGAAUAUUGGUCAAUGGGCGGAAGCCUGAACCAGCCAUGCCGCGUGCAGGACGACGGCCCUACGGGUUGUAAACUGCUUUUCCGGGGGAAGAAUAACCCCCUGCGGGGGGGAUGCCGGUACCCCGGGAAUAAGGAUCGGCUAACUCCGUGCCAGCAGCCGCGGUAAUACGGAGGAUCCUAGCGUUAUCCGGAUUUACUGGGUUUAAAGGGUGCGUAGGCGGGCGUUUAAGUCCGCGGUGAAAGUCUGCGGCUCAACCGUAGGAUUGCCGUGGAUACUGGACGUCUUGGAUUCGGUCGGGCGGCGGAAUGCGUGGUGUAGCGGUGAAAUGCAUAGAUAUCACGCAGAACGCCGAUAGCGGAGGCAGCUCGCCGGGCCGAAAUCGACGCUGAGGCACG